UCUUAUUCCGAGCAUUCCAGUAACUUUUUUUGUGUAUGUACCUAGCUGUACUAUAAGUAGUUGGUUUGUAUGAGAUGGUUAAAAA
rfam:Cricetulus griseus cell line CHO-K1, whole genome shotgun sequence.